AUCACAUUAUUAUUAUAUGAAUAAAAUAAUUUACCUCAACUUGAGAUUGACCCUGGUAGCCUGCAGUCAGAUAAAGAAAGAGUAUGAUGUGACAUUAAUAUGUUUAUGUAAUAAUAAUAAUAUUACAGAUCUUCCAUGACAGUUCAUUAUGUGUGUCGAUGGCGUACCGUCGUCGGGGCAGAUGGGGCAGCACUCGUCAUGGGGGAUGACGGGGUUGGGGCAGUCGGCCGUGUCCUCGCAGAUGACCUCAUCGCACAUCACCGUGCCGCUGUCGCACACGCAGAUCUGGCAUGGCUCGGGUUUCCAUACGUCACGGUCCGCAAACACCUGGCCGUCGAGGGUGCAACUGCCACCCUCACCUGAGGGGGGCGACAGAGACACAUGAGGUAAGUGAACAAGAACAAGAGCGCGAACAAGAAGAAAAAAAAAAAAAGAACAACCCGGAAGUAAGCUCCCAACCUAAACACCGUGUGUCGUCUCGUUUUUGUGGCUGAAAGUGCCUCCUCACCUGGCCAACUCAACAAUGGGCCCGGGGGCGGUGUUGAAGUUUGCCACGUCAAUCAAACCUGCAGUAAGGCUGUCUACUGGACUCGGCAGAGGAAGGCCCAGGUAGUUGGCAACCCUGGAGAGUGAACACAUGAAUUAAAUGGCUCGUCUUUACUACGCACAGGAAUGUCGUCUCAAGGGAUUAACCUUGUUGGUGGUUCUGGACCUCCAGAAGAGUUUACCCAGAUCUUGCCUGAUACACUCCAACAUGAUGUGACCCGUGCCCUGGCCCUGCUCAGUGCUGCUCACCACCAACUUAUCAAGGGCAAACCAAAGGAAUCAUCCCGCAGUUUAGACUCCAUUGGAGAAGGCUGGUAUCAACGGUUACAGAUGGUAGAGCGCUAGGAAGAAGAGAAGAAAAGAUGAUAGAAAGUGAGAAAAAAGAACAAUAAAGAAUUUAUACAAUUCUUUGUCUAUGGUGGAAUGAUUAUACAAUUUAGAUCGCCAAUUUUUUUUUUUAAACAAUAAUUGGGUGCACAAGUUGGAUUUCAUGACAAAUACAGCAGGUUUCCCCAA